rnacentral:rRNA from 1 species
CCUACGGGAGGCAGCAGUNAGGAAUAUUGGUCAAUGGACGCAAGUCUGAACCAGCCAUGCCGCGUGGAGGAUGAAGGUCCUCUGGAUUGUAAACUUCUUUUAUUUGGGAAGAAACCUCUCUAUUCCUAGAGAGUUGACGGUACCAAGUGAAUAAGCACCGGCUAACUCCGUGCCAGCAGCCGCGGUAAUACGGAGGGUGCAAGCGUUAUCCGGAUUCACUGGGUUUAAAGGGUGCGUAGGCGGGCUUGUAAGUCCGUGGUGAAAUCUCUGAGCUUAACUCGGAAACUGCCAUGGAUACUAUAGGCCUUGAAUUCUGUGGAGGUUUGCGGAAUAUGUCAUGUAGCGGUGAAAUGCUUAGAUAUGACAUAGAACACCGAUUGCGAAGGCAGCAGGCUACACAGCGAUUGACGCUGAGGCACGAAAGCGUGGGGAUCAAACAGGAUUAGAUACCCUGGUAGUCCACGCCCUAAACGAUGAUUACUCGACAUUUGUGAUACACAAUAAGUGUCUGAGCGAAAGCAUUAAGUAAUCCACCUGGGAAGUACGACCGCAAGGUUGAAACUCAAAUGAAUUGACGG